rnacentral:tRNA from 1 species
AGAGAUGUAGCUCAGUGGUAUAGCACUUGCCUGGCAUGUAAAAGGCUCUGGAUUCAACCUCUAGCAACACAC